UACGAGGACCCCAAGCGUUAUCCGGAAUUACUGGGCGUAAAGCGCGAGUAUCCGGCUGUAUUAGUCUGGCGUUAAAUUCCAAGGCUUAACUUUGGAACCGCGUCGGAAACGGUACGGCUAGAGCGGGUGAGAGGCAAGCGGAACGUGCAGUGUAGGGGUGAAAUCCAUUGAUAUUGCACGGAACACCAAAAGCGAAAGCAGCUUGCUGGCGCCUUGCUGACGGUCAAUUGCGAAAGCGUGGGGAUCAAAAAGG
rnacentral:rRNA from 1 species